rnacentral:rRNA from 1 species
UACGUAGGGGGCUAGCGUUGUCCGGAAUCAUUGGGCGUAAAGAGCGUGUAGGCGGUCCGGUAAGUCCGCUGUGAAAGUCGGGGGCUCAACCCUCGAAUGCCGGUGGAUACUGUCGGGCUAGAGUGCGGAAGAGGCGAGUGGAAUUCCUGGUGUAGCGGUGAAAUGCGUAGAUAUCUGGAGGAACACCGGUGGCGAAGGCGGCAUCCUGGACCAACACUGACGCUGAGUGAGCGAAAGCCAGGGGAGCAAACGGG